rnacentral:rRNA from 1 species
GAUAAGUAAUGUGAAUUGCAGAAUUUAGUGAAUCAUCGAAUCUUUGAACGCACAUUGCGCCCCUUGGUAUUCCGAGGGGCAUGCCUGUUCGAGCGUC